CACCAGCCUAGCGUGGGCUUCAGCACACACUGAAAUACAGACUCAGAUCUGAGAAUCUUGAUGAGGCUAGUUAUUUAGAAUCUUGCUGCUGGAUACUGUGCAAGCCCCAGGAUCAAAGAGGACAGCCACACUUAGGUCAGAGCUUUCCAGGGUCUGGCUUUCUUCCACCAAAAAGAACAGCCUGCAGGAGCCCAGCACGAUGACCAGGCACAGCCCAGCAUCCCAGCG
rnacentral:lncRNA from 12 species